rnacentral:rRNA from 1 species
GAUGAACGCUGGCGGCGUGCCUAAUACAUGCAAGUCGAGCGAACAGAUGAGGAGCUUGCUCCUCUGACGUUAGCGGCGGACGGGUGAGUAACACGUGGAUAACCUACCUAUAAGACUGGGAUAACUUCGGGAAACCGGAGCUAAUACCGGAUAAUAUAUUGAACCGCAUGGUUCAAUAGUGAAAGACGGUUUUGCCGUCACUUAUGGAUGGAUCCGCGCCGCAUUAGCUAGUUGGUAAGGUAACGGCUUACCAAGGCAACGAUGCGUAGCCGACCUGAGAGGGUGAUCGGCCACACUGGAACUGAGACACGGUCCAGACUCCUACGGGAGGCAGCAGUAGGGAAUCUUCCGCAAAGGGCGAAAGCCUGACGGAGCAACGCCGCGUGAGUGAUGAAGGUCUUCGGAUCGUAAAACUCUGUUAUUAGGGAAGAACAAAUGUGUAAGUAACUAUGCACGUCUUGACGGUACCUAAUCAGAAAGCCACGGCUAACUACGUG